CAGGCCUAACACAUGCAAGUCGGACGGUAGCACAGAGAGCUUGCUCUUGGGUGACGAGUGGCGGACGGGUGAGUAAUGUCUGGGGAUCUGCCCGAUAGAGGGGGAUAACCACUGGAAACGGUGGCUAAUACCGCAUAACGUCGCAAGACCAAAGAGGGGGACCUUCGGGCCUCUCACUAUCGGAUGAACCCAGAUGGGAUUAGCUAGUAGGCGGGGUAAUGGCCCACCUAGGCGACGAUCCCUAGCUGGUCUGAGAGGAUGACCAGCCACACUGGAACUGAGACACGGUCCAGACUCCUACGGGAGGCAGCAGUGGGGAAUAUUGCACAAUGGGCGCAAGCCUGAUGCACCCAUGCCGCGUGUAUGAAGAAGGCCUUCGGGUUGUAAAGUACUUUCAGCGGGGAGGAAGGCGGUGAGGUUAAUAACCUCGCCGAUUGACGUU
rnacentral:rRNA from 1 species